CCUAAGGGGAAGAGAAGCUGGAAAAAACGGGAGCCAGAGCAGAAGUAAUUAUUAAGGUUGAAAUUAUUCAGAAAACGAAUUAUAUUCCUUAAGUUGAACCACAUUGAAGAUGAGAUGACGUUUGUUGUAAAACAAAAUUAUCUGGUGGAUUACAGUGGAUAAAAAAGGACAAAAAAACAGUCUGGCUAUCUGCAAUAGCAGUGGAUGUUACCUCACAUACUGGUUUUUUUGAGGCUUCUUCUGAUCCUGGAUUCCUGGUGUUCCUCCAACUGAAGGUGGAUUCCUCUCUGUUCGCCUUGGUGUCUGGUUCUCUGGUCUUUCCUUCAACUAACAGCGCUGCAACGGUUCCUUUUGGAGUUUGAUAUGGACGCUAAGUAUUGAAGGGGUGGUUAGACAGUUAAAAUAUUUGAGUGCACUCAAGGGUAACAUUUUUUUUCCUUUUUUUUUAACGAUAUUUCCUUCUAUUUUGUUUCAUGAUAUCUAAAAAUUUGUGGCUGAUUUGUCAAAAUAAAUAGUAGUAAUGUAAA